GACCUUACCUGGCAGGGGCAAUACCAUGAUCAGGUAGGUAGGUUGCCCAAAGCGAGGCUCAGCCAUCACACUCGAGCUGUGCUUACUUUUGUGAAUUCCUCAAAUUCGGGAAUCUCAACUGUAUCAUUUCUGAUAGUGUAGGACUGCAUGCAUGCUCCUCCC